AUUAUUAUUCAUCUAAAUAUUUUAGUGAAAAAGUUUUAAAUUUUAUCCAUUUUGUUUAUAUAUUGUUAGGGUGAUACAAAAACAGUUUCUACCACACCAAACCAGCUGGCUUUUGUCCGCGUAUACUGUGGUCCAACUAAUCAGUGCACUGUGCCAAACUCAUCCCUCUCAGCAGCUCAUAUUGAUGUCACAACAAAGCCUGCAAUCAUAUUCAGAAUUGCAGCUCGUAAUGAAAAAGGCUAUGGUCCUGCUACCCAAGUAAGGUGGUUACAGGACCCCUCUACUCAAGUCAAGGUGCCAGCGGGUAUGAAACGCCCAGGCGCUGAUAGCAAACCGAUGUCUCCUGUCAAAAGAAUGAAAGGUGAAGAUUCUUGAAGUGGUUAAGUGAUUUAAGAAGUAUAAUAGUAUUUCUUUUUCAUGAAGAAGUUGUUUGUUCUGCUUAUGACAUAAAUCAUGUCCAGGACAGCCAGUUUUUACUCAAGAGUGUAAAGUUGCAUAUUAACAGACAGCUUGGUAAUGUUGAUACAAGAAUCAGUAUGUUUAUUUCGUGAAUUAAGGCUGGUUCAGUUUUAAAUUAUAAACAUUUAACAUUGUUUAUGUCCAGACUUAUUUCUCGGAAAAGAAUUUUCUUUUAGUUAAUUUCCUUUGCUUUAUCUCAGCUUAGUAUUUUUCCCAACAGAGUUUAUGUAAGUCAUAUUAACAUUCAAAUGUAAUUAACUAGUUAAUAAAUUGUAUUUUAUUGUAGAAUAUCAGGGGUGGAAUGAACAUCAUUUAGCCUCUAAACAGAGUUGCUCAUUUCACUUAACAUUUAUUUGUACUCACAUGCUGUUUAGUGGAAUAUAAUCAAUAAAUUGAAUACCCGCUUUAUUGUGUAUGGAA